rnacentral:tRNA from 1 species
GCCCGAAUAGCUUAGUGGUAGAGCGCAAGGCUCUUAACCUUGUGGUCGUGGGUUCGAUCCCCACUUCGGGUA